rnacentral:rRNA from 1 species
GACGAACCGUACGAACGUUAUUCGGAAUUACUGGGCGUAAAGGGUGCGUAGGCGGCGCGGAAAGUAGGGUGUGAAAUCCCUCGGCUCAACCGAGGAACUGCGCUCUAAACUACCGUGCUCGAGGGAGAUAGAGGUGAGCGGAACUGAGGGUGGAGCGGUGAAAUGCGUUGAUAUCCUCAGGAACACCGGUGGCGAAAGCGGCUCACUGGAUCUCUUCUGACGCUGAGGCACGAAAGCUAGGGUAGCGAACGGG